rnacentral:rRNA from 1 species
GACGAACCGAGCGAACGUUGUUCGGAAUCACUGGGCUUAAAGGGCGCGUAGGCGGGCUGGAAAGUCCGUGGUGAAAUCCCCCGGCCCAACCGGGGAACGGCCUCGGAUACUUUCGGCCUGGAGGCGGGUAGGGCGAGCGGAACUGUGGGUGGAGCGGUGAAAUGCGUUGAGAUCCACAGGAACUCCGGUGGCGAAGGCGGCUCGCUGGACCCGAUCUGACGCUGAGGCGCGAAAGCCAGGGGAGCGAACGGG